rnacentral:tRNA from 1 species
GGUUGUGGCUCAGAGGUAGAGCACUCUUGCCUAGCAUACGUGAGGCACUGGGUUCGAUCCUCAGCACCA